rnacentral:rRNA from 12 species
UUUGGCUGCACCUGAGUGCAAGCACUCAAUAGCAUCUGAUCUUAGAAACUAAGCAGGGCCAUGCCUGGUUAGUACUUGGAUGGAAGACCAACUUGGAAGACCAGAGGCUUCUAGCC